AUUGAACGCUAGCGGGAUGCUUUACACAUGCAAGUCGAACGGAGUGGCGGACGGGUGAGUAAUAUAUCGGAACGUGCCCAGUAGCGGGGGAUAACUACUCGAAAGAGUGGCUAUUACCGCAUACUAUUAGAGCGACCGAGAUCGGAUUAGCUAGUGGGUGGGGUAAAGGCUCACAAAGGCCACGACCCGUAGCUGGUUUGAGAGGACGACCAGCCACACUGGGACUGAGACACGGCCCAGACUCCUACGGGAGGCAGCAGUGGGGAAUUUUGGACAAUGGGGGAAACCCUGAUCCAGCCAUCCCGCGUGUAUGAUGAAGGCCUUCGGGUUGUAAAGUACUUUUGGCAGAGAAGCGGUAUCUGCAGAAUAAGCACCGGCUAACUACGUGCCAGCAGCCGCGGUAAUAC
rnacentral:rRNA from 1 species